rnacentral:lncRNA from 1 species
GGAUAUUGACAUGAACAGAGCAAUGACCAUAUCAAGACACCAGAAGAAGACAACCAUCUAUAAGCCAAGGAGAGAGGCCUCAGAAAAAAUCAACCCCUUCGACACCUUGAUCUUGGACUUCUAGCUUCCAGAACUUGGCAUCCUAGGGAUUUGUCAGAACACUGUCAACAGAGGAAGACUCAGGAAAAGAAUGAAAAGUCCAGCUGCUCCCAGCCCUUUCCAGCCUCCAUUCAUUAUGCUUAAGUCUGUUCCUACAUAGUGGGCUGUUUCAUUGGGGCUGCAUGGUGUUUGUCCCUGACUGGAGUGGAAGUUUCAGAAGAGUGAGCUCUUGGAGAACUGAGAGUUAAGUUAGCCUCUUUACAAACUAAAUGGAUGUUUUUUCAUUGGAAACGAGUUCUUUUCUACACAACUUAUAUCUAGAAAGUCAGUUAGCCAGUAAAUAUAUGAGAUUCAAAAAAGGUCUGAAGGAAAUACGAAUGGUAGGGAGAAAGGAAGGCAGGCAGAGAAGUCAAGAUUUUGAAAAUCAGUAAAAACUAUUAUGAGCAAAAACAUUUCUUUUUGACCAGCUAACCGUUCUGUCAAACUAAGUUCUAGCCAGAUAAUCAUAGCUACUGCAUAAUAAUGGAAUUUUUUUUUAUUGUGCUGUGACAUGCCUGAAAUAAAUUUCAUUAGAACUGGUUAUUGAUAUGAGACUUAAGUAGCAGAGGAAGCUUGCUGUAAUCAGCCAAUGUUUUAGUAUUUUUCUCAG